GGACGAAUAGCUCAGGGGUAGAGCAGCCGGCUGCAGUCCGGCAGGUCACGCGUUCAAAUCGCGUUUCGUCCU
rnacentral:tRNA from 1 species